UGAGAGGUGGAGACGCCAGUGUAAAUGCAUGUUUAGCUGAACGGAGUUACAGAUAAUUAAACAGAUAUUCACAGGAAUCACUUUGAAGGGCAGUGCCCAAGACGGACCCUUCCCUGUACCCGCGUCGGCCCUGGGAUGAAGAGAUGUCCAGUUGCAACCUUGCAGGUCUGUUUGACAGGAAAAAAAAAUGUGCCCUUGGACAGCAAGAUACUCAAAGGCUGGGAACAGCAAGAGGCUUUGGAGUGUCGCAAUCCCUCGGCCUGGCUGGGAUGAG